rnacentral:rRNA from 1 species
CACGUAGGAGGCAAACGUUAUCCGGAUUUACUGGGCGUAAAGCGCGUGUAGGUGGUACUGUAAGUAGGGCGUGAAAGCUCCUGGCUCAACUGGGAGAGGCCGUUCUAAACUGCAGCACUCGAGUUUGGUAGAGGAAGAUGGAAUUCCAGGUGUAGCGGUAAAAUGCGCAGAUAUCUGGAGGAACACCAGUGGCGAAAGCGGUCUUCUAGACCAAUACUGACACUCAGACGCGAAAGCUAGGGUAGCAAAC